ensembl:processed_transcript
CUGGCCUGGAGGGACUCGAGCCAACACUGGUGUCUGUGGAAUCUGUGCUGAUUUGCUUUGGAUCCACACAAGGAUCUGGACCUGGGCCACUGGGGACUUCUGGUUCCCUCAGAGUGGAUGGUCAGGGGAGCCUUCAUACGGCCUACUGGCUUCUGUUGGGCCUGGUCUCCUGGCCUCUUCUUGUGUCCACUGUAGUGGGCAGAGUCUGUGUUUGGGAUGGGGUAGUUUGUGUCUCUUCUACUGUGUGACUGCUCACCAUGAUCCCCACGACCCCCAUGGUAAAGAUGGGAUGCUAUUUUUUCUCUCACCCUCAAAGUGAAACUCCUUCCCUGUCUGAGAGAGCCUCGCUGUUACCCCAGCCCUCAGGGCUCCUUCCCAAGUUCAUCUGCCCGGGUUGUUACUCAGUGCCAGCAUGAGAGAGGGCAUCUUGGGUUCCUGGCAUUCUGAGUGCUAUGUCUUGUUAAUAUUAGCCUUGCCACCACAGGAACUAUCCCCUCAAGAUUUAUUAACAGCUGUCCUCUAGGAGAAUGGCAGAAGGGGAGUUGGCAAGUUCUGAAGCCCACAUCCCUCUGCAGGCCAAGGGACAUACUUCCUAAGGCUCUUCAAUACAGUAGUCUGGACAGAGGAUCCAAGAUGGCUGAUGAGAAAUCCCCUGGGGAGGUGGGGCAGCCCUGGUGUUCACAGCUCCAGCUGGCUAUGGAGAGGGCAUCGCUGGAUAGAACUGAGAUGGUGCCAGGCUCCUGAGGCUCUGCUGCCCAACCUGGCCUGCUCUGGCUGUUAGUUUCGCCGGACUGGAUGCCACAUGGACACAGGCCUGCGCAGUGUGGCCAGCAUCUGGUUCCAAUGUGUGGUGCCCAUGCCACUGACCCCUGGCCCAAUGAUGACAUGGCCCACGUUGUCCCCACGGCCGUCGCUGCUGCUCUCAGCCACUGUCACCCGGAGAGACAGGUCCUGGGAAGAAGGUGACAUGAAAGAUUGGGACCAGGAGCAGCUAAAGGGCUCUCCCUGGCUCCAAGGCUCCAAGGCCCUGUGAGGUGCAUACAGCUCUUUGAAUCUUCCCAUCUGGCUUGGGAGAAGAGACUUGUCCUAGUGACUUCCAGAUGGAUAAGCCAGCUGUGAUGUGACCUCGCUAAGUGCUAAAAAGUGACAGUCCCAGCAGGAUUCAAAAUCCAUCUCUCAGUUCUCUGUCCCUCGACAUUUUCUUCUUUAAGAUUUAUUUUUGAGUUUGAAAAGAUGGGUCAGCAAUUAAACACACUUGCUGUUCUUGCAGAGAACCUCCCAGCAUCUAUACAUUGACUCAGUCACCUGAGGAUAUCUGAACUCUCUCUGUGGGCAUCUGGCAUGCAUGUUAUGCACAUACAUACAUGCAAGCAAAAUGCUCAAACACUUAAAAUAACAAAAACCUUAAAAAGA